UUCCACUAAUGAUGUGUGUCCUCCAGGC
rnacentral:piRNA from 1 species